AUAAUAAUAUUAUGCUUUCUUUCCUGGAAGAAUGUUGUUGCGAUAGACCCUGCAUGAAAAACACCAGGGAAUCUGUAUUUAAGUGACCUUAAUAUUAUGCGUAAACCUAAGUGUGCAUUUGUAGGCGGUGUCGAAAUGGGUCUAUAGCUCUGCCUGAACUGUCGUCCAAUUGGUUUACAAGUCCGGCUGAAGUGACAGGCCAUCAAAAACUGUACAGUGUGACUGAUUCGGAGACGGCCCUCAACACUCGCCCAGUCGUGUCGAGAGGAUCGGUGUCUUUGCAGAUUACACGGAAUUGAGCACCCGGGCCAGACUGACACUUUCCGGAGCCUGCCCUAGACGGAACUCGAGCCGAGGAAUCAUAGGUCCAGGCGGUGUCGAAAUGGGUCUAUAGCUCUGCCUGAACUGUCGUCCAAUUGGUUUACAAGUCCGGCUGAAGUGACAGGCCAUCAAAACUGUACAGUGUGACUGAUUCGGAGACGGCCCUCAACACUCGCCCAGUCGUGUCGAGAGGAUCGGUGUCUUUGCAGAUUACACGGAAUUGAGCACCCGGGCCAGACUGACACUUUCCGGAGCCUGCCCUAGACGGAACUCGAGCCGAGGAAUCAUAGGUCCAGGCGGUGUCGAAAUGGGUCUAUAGCUCUGCCUGAACUGUCGUCCAAUUGGUUUACAAGUCCGGCUGAAGUGACAGGCCAUCAAAAACUGUACAGUGUGACUGAUUCGGAGACGGCCCUCAACACUCGCCCAGUCGUGUCGAGAGGAUCGGUGUCUUUGCAGAUUACACGGAAUUGAGCACCCGGGCCAGACUGACACUUUCCGGAGCCUGCCCUAGACGGAACUCGAGCCGAGGAAUCAUAGGUCCAGGCGGUGUCGAAAUGGGUCUAUAGCUCUGCCUGAACUGUCGUCCAAUUGGUUUACAAGUCCGGCUGAAGUGACAGGCCAUCAAAAACUGUACAGUGUGACUGAUUCGGAGACGGCCCUCAACACUCGCCCAGUCGUGUCGAGAGGAUCGGUGUCUUUGCAGAUUACACGGAAUUGAGCACCCGGGCCAGACUGACACUUUCCGGAGCCUGCCCUAGACGGAACUCGAGCCGAGGAAUCAUAGGUCCAGGCGGUGUCGAAAUGGGUCUAUAGCUCUGCCUGAACUGUCGUCCAAUUGGUUUACAAGUCCGGCUGAAGUGACAGGCCAUCAAAAACUGUACAGUGUGACUGAUUCGGAGACGGCCCUCAACACUCGCCCAGUCGUGUCGAGAGGAUCGGUGUCUUUGCAGAUUACACGGAAUUGAGCACCCGGGCCAGACUGACACUUUCCGGAGCCUGCCCUAGACGGAACUCGAGCCGAGGAAUCAUAGGUCCAGGUGUGACAAAAGACUUAAAGCUCAUGUCUGACGAUGACUUUUUUUAGUCAGGAAGCCAAGUGUGUUGUUUUUCCAUGCAAGCGAGCCCUUUUGUUGGGUCAAAUGACAUCAGCAUUGCUGCUUCUACAUGGAUUUUACCUAAAAUGUGCAAAAAAAAUAUAAAAAGUUUGUUCGAAUCCAGUUCAAAACCUGCUUUGAUGCACAAAUAUUGCCAUUGAUGAUUUUUUUCACUUAUUAAGCCAUAUGUAAGAUAAGCUUUGCCUAUUAGAAUCGAAAGACAUGCCUUGUAUGGAGUCUAAGUGCUGCAUGUAUGAUGUAACCGAGUUUGGCUUUUCUACCUUAAUUCUUGACGCGAAACGCUGUUACGCAUGGCGCUUUCAACGGCAACUUUUAUGAAUUAAUCUGUGUGUCAUUGUACCGGAACUUUGUGAUCUUUCUCAAAACAGAUUAUACCUGUGGGAAAAGUGCCUUUAAUUUAAAUUUGAAGGGGUUGGGUUCUCUUAAAUUUAAGCACAUCCGACCAAGUUAGUCGUCUGCCAGAAUUUUGACAUUUGACCAUUAAAAACUCUCUGUAUUGCAAAACAUAACUGCCAGAUGUCAUUUUGACCCAAAUAAGGGCUGUUUGCAAUUGGGCUGUUGCACUUGGGGUCAUAAGGGGGGUAAAUGCUGGAAAAUCACACCGAAACCUGUUCCGGAGACAUAUUCUAAGACUACUUAAACACCCGGUAUUGUUUUUCAGUGCCAUUUUGACAUUAAUUUGCAUCAAUCUCAAUAAUGAACCUAAUGCAUGUCUUUAUUUCAUCUGUAUUUAUUAUUAUUGUUUACUUUUUGAGCCUUUUUCUGUUAAAAAUGCCCGCCAAUUUUGGACCUACACUUCUAUCCGCCUUCGCCUUCAACCCAUUCAGGCAGAUCUACUCAGAAUAACACUACUUUGCCUUAUUUUACCUGUUUGGAUAUCUCGCUGAGUUCAAGUAAAAUCAAGUAUUCAGCUGAAAACACAAAAAUGAUAAUAAUAUUAUGCUUUCUUUCCUGGAAGAAUGUUGUUGCGAUUGACCCUGCAUGAAAAACACCAGGGAAUCUGUAUUUAAGUGACCUUAAUAUUAUGCGUAAACCUAAGUGUGCAUUUGUAGGCGGUGUCGAAAUGGGUCUAUAGCUCUGCCUGAACUGUCGUCCAAUUGGUUUACAAGUCCGGCUGAAGUGACAGGCCAUCAAAAACUGUACAGUGUGACUGAUUCGGAGACGGCCCUCAACACUCGCCCAGUCGUGUCGAGAGGAUCGGUGUCUUUGCAGAUUACACGGAAUUGAGCACCCGGGCCAGACUGACACUUUCCGGAGCCUGCCCUAGACGGAACUCGAGCCGAGGAAUCAUAGGUCCAGGCGGUGUCGAAAUGGGUCUAUAGCUCUGCCUGAACUGUCGUCCAAUUGGUUUACAAGUCCGGCUGAAGUGACAGGCCAUCAAAAACUGUACAGUGUGACUGAUUCGGAGACGGCCCUCAACACUCGCCCAGUCGUGUCGAGAGGAUCGGUGUCUUUGCAGAUUACACGGAAUUGAGCACCCGGGCCAGACUGACACUUUCCGGAGCCUGCCCUAGACGGAACUCGAGCCGAGGAAUCAUAGGUCCAGGCGGUGUCGAAAUGGGUCUAUAGCUCUGCCUGAACUGUCGUCCAAUUGGUUUACAAGUCCGGCUGAAGUGACAGGCCAUCAAAAACUGUACAGUGUGACUGAUUCGGAGACGGCCCUCAACACUCGCCCAGUCGUGUCGAGAGGAUCGGUGUCUUUGCAGAUUACACGGAAUUGAGCACCCGGGCCAGACUGACACUUUCCGGAGCCUGCCCUAGACGGAACUCGAGCCGAGGAAUCAUAGGUCCAGGCGGUGUCGAAAUGGGUCUAUAGCUCUGCCUGAACUGUCGUCCAAUUGGUUUACAAGUCCGGCUGAAGUGACAGGCCAUCAAAAACUGUACAGUGUGACUGAUUCGGAGACGGCCCUCAACACUCGCCCAGUCGUGUCGAGAGGAUCGGUGUCUUUGCAGAUUACACGGAAUUGAGCACCCGGGCCAGACUGACACUUUCCGGAGCCUGCCCUAGACGGAACUCGAGCCGAGGAAUCAUAGGUCCAGGUGUGACAAAAGACUUAAAGCUCAUGUCUGACGAUGACUUUUUUUAGUCAGGAAGCCUAGUGUGUUGUUUUUCCAUGCAAGCGAGCCCUUUUGUUGGGUCAAAUGACAUCAGCAUUGCUGCUUCUACAUGGAUUUUACCUAAAAUGUGCAAAAAAAAUAUAAAAAGUUUGUUCGAAUCCAGUUCAAAACCUGCUUUGAUGCACAAAUAUUGCCAUUGAUGAUUUUUUUCACUUAUUAAGCCAUAUGUAAGAUAAGCUUUGCCUAUUAGAAUCGAAAGACAUGCCUUGUAUGGAGUCUAAGUGCUGCAUGUAUGAUGUAACCGAGUUUGGCUUUUCUACCUUAAUUCUUGACGCGAAACGCUGUUACGCAUGGCGCUUUCAACGGCAACUUUUAUGAAUUAAUCUGUGUGUCAUUGUACCGGAACUUUGUGAUCUUUCUCAAAACAGAUUAUACCUGUGGGAAAAGUGCCUUUAAUUUAAAUUUGAAGGGGUUGGGUUCUCUUAAAGGUCACAUAACCCCAGACCGGAACUCCUGUUUUUAGGGUUACAUGCAGUCAGUUUGAUACUUAGCACACAUUGUUGAGUGCAUGCUGCCGAGGAUUUGUAAAAUACAUUGCAAAUGGUUGGUUUUGGUAUCAACUUGAAGGUAUAUUUGUAAGCAAUAAGAAAAUAAGCCAUUUUUGUGCUCUACUUUUUGUGUUGAUGGUUCCCGGCUUCGAAAGUAGGUCAUACUAUUUGAGCCCAAAAUGGUUGUCUGCACAGCUGUCAAAACCGGUUUGCCUAUUCUAAGGUAAAUAUUUUGAGUUUGCGCGUAUAGAAUUUAAUGACAUGCAUUUUUUUCAAAAGAUUAUGCAUUAAUCUUUCCAAUGAUGUAUGAUGAUAUAGUGGGUAUGCGCUUGAUCAUGGUAAAAAUUGAUAUCGAACUUCAACUAUUUUAUAUGUAAUAUAGAAGGAAAUUAAUUGCGCAUGCGUAACCUCCAUAAUCGAUAAAUUGACCGCCACCAUAUUGUCAGUCACGUGACUGUUCGCCAUUACACUGCUGCUAACUGGUGCGAGACUGCGAUUCCAAAAGCCAAAAACGUAGAGAAUACCCGCUUAACCGUUGUCGGAUAAAUAAAUUACUUAAUGAAUUAAUGUGAGGCGAUUAUCACAUUUUUGUUGUUUAAAUGAUUGUUUGAAGUUGAGAUUGAUUGUUACAAAUAAAAUGUUUAAAAUGCUUUCGUGUAUUUGUUUUUUAUAUCUGUAAUCAAGUGGUAAUCAUCGGCGAAAAUUUGCCGGUUCAGUCGCUCAUACUAUGUCUUAGACUUGUUACUUUUAACGUUUCACAAACAAUUCACGCAUGUAUUGUUGUGUUGAUUUUAAUAGCCGCAACAUCAAGCAAUUUAUAUUUUAAUUAAUACUUAUUAAAGAUUCUCGCGCAAUUAAUUACCGCUAAUUGUUUGUAAUUGGUCUCAUGUGGUAAAAAUCUACAUUCCAAAAUCAUAACAUAUUAUAUUAAGUAUGAUAUUUUUGAUACGCCUUUCUUUAUUUUUCUUGUUCUAACUGAUAUCAAAGAUAAAAAAUUGUGGUUUGGAUUUAUAUUUAAUUAUGGAAUUUUGUCACGUUAAAAAACGAGCUUUUUAUUAUGAGAGAGUGAUAUUGAUCUUGACGAUCUUUUAUGUGAUUAUUCGGAAGAUGAAGAGAAUGUGAUCUAUGUGAUAUAUCUAUAUUUUCAUCUGUGAAUCAUUUAACAGCUAUAAAGCUAAAAAAUACUAAAAAAUGUAUUUUAUAGGUCUUUGAAGUAAGGCAAAACAUAUGGAUAACGACACCAAAUGUUUAGUCAAUUAAUCCACACAAAAAAACUCCGAAAAAUAAAAACACCUAAAUAAUAUUUCAAAAAUAUAUUAUUAAGCGCCAAACGAAUUUAUUAAUACAUUUAUUUGCAACUUUAAAAACGCGGCAUAAGCAUCAAAUUAAAGAUUAUCUGAAGACUGAAAGGCCGACAAUUUGACACAACAAAGAGCUCUAUGCAUAAGCCGUAAUAUUUUUUGCAGAAAAGCUUCAAUAAAUUACAAUAGUAAUACAUCUAAUUAUAAAAAUAUAAUUAUGAAUGGCAUGAGUACGUUAGUGUGAUAAACACGUGAGUAAUAGAAAGUAUAAGGGGUGCAUUGAAAAUAAACGUACUACAAAGCCCUAUUAAAAGCGAAGUGCAUGACAUGUUAACAUGUAAUUUUAAUUUGAUGGGUUUUAUACAGAGAAUGACGCUAUUGAGGAAUAUAAACAUACAACUGAAAAACACAACUUUACAUGAUGCAAUUUGAACUGUAUAUUCAUGUAUAUUGAAAACUCGUUACUAGUGAGUAUGAGUGGCAAAUAUCUAACAUUUUAACACACAUAUAUCUAUAUUAAUAUUUUUUUUAAACAAUAUUUACCCCCGUUCGUGUCAAAUGUAAUUUCUUGUUUUAUGAUGUCGUUCGUGCAUUGCCGUAACAUUAAAUCUUCAUACGAAAUGACGUAGUUUUAAUUAACCGAUACCCGCUAAAUACGUUAAAUGUUAUGUUUUUAGGUAAAUUUUAUAAUUAUCAAAUACUUUUUUUCAUAAAUUAAACCAGGGAUUAAACGGGCUAGUAUCUUUACGGUGUACAAUUUCUGAUAUUCUAUAUUGGACAUUACUUUUAAUUUGUACAAUAUGUAACAUAUCUAAUGAACGCAACUGUUAAGUAUGUCGGAGGUAAAAUAUUAAACCAAAUGACUGCUUAAUACUACCAAAAAGAGAAGACAUGGUGGCAUCAUCAAUUGUGUUUAAUGACCAGACUGUCAUCUGCCACCCAGUGUGGUUUAUGACACCCCGGGAUGACGCCAUGUUGUUAGUUAAGUCUGGAUAAUAUCUGAUCAAAACGAGAUAAUCGGAUUAUGCAGAACAAACGGGCAAUUCAACACUGGAAUGCAAAGGAUUACGCGAUUUUAAGAUUGAUGCAUAUAAUCAAAUGAUAAAUAUUGCAUUAAGUUUAAUUAAAUGUUGUUUUUUUUUAAAUGUGUUAACGUGUUUAUUUUCCUAGACAAAUACCUAAAAAAUGCACGUUUUUCAAACAUUUUUCUGUUAUAACACUAACUUAACAUCUCCUCUAGCUGAAAAACUUUAUUUCAUACAAUUUGCAUGACAAACAAACAAGUUUUACAAAAAGAAAGAAAUUCACCCGUUGAAUAAUCGUUGCUCUCUUAUAUAUGUUACCGGUUGUUUGGCAGUAGUGUAAUGGCGGACGCGGAGAGUAUUCAGGGGAGAUAAUUGGGUAAUUACUAAAUUAUGGAACGGUCUAUAUACCUGUUUAAUGCUUUUAACAAAAUACAGGUUGUAUCAAUCGGUGAAAUAAAAAAUUCCGUAUUACGCUACUCGCUGUUUCCAAUUCCGUAUUACCAUACUAGCCGGACUACUUCGACCCAUUUAAUGACGUCACAUUAAACGCACCGAAAAAAGAAAUAUUUUAUAUUACGAAAUAUAUUACGUUGUACAUCGUGUGACGUCAUUUCUGUGACAAAACACGAUAGUUUUAUCUAAACUCUGCAAGGACAUGUCGGACGUGGUGUUUUUUAACAGUUAACUAUGUGUUAAAAACGUAUUUUGGAGUGCGUGUUUAUCAUGCAUAAAUGUAUAUUUCGAUAGGAAUUCAAUAAAAUAGUGUGGUUUAAACUAAGUUUCGAUAAAGACAUGGAAGAUAGAAGUGAAAGCGCAUAUCGUUUAAACGUUUUUGUUAUAAACAUCGGAUUAAAGUUGUCAACUUCAUUGUUAUAAAAAUUGGAUUAACGAUGGCAUUAAGGUAAGCGUGUCGGAAACCUGUGUUUUCCCGAUUCGAAUGUUUACACGUUAAUUUACAUAAACUGUAUUCAUACGCGUCUUAAAUAAACUAUGGCGUACCGUUUUAGUCAUUGUUUUGUCAGUUUUGUUAAAGUAAAAAAUGCAUUUGUUAACUGUUUGCGUUAGUUGUUGUAUAUAAUAAAAGGAAUAUUACGCUAGUCAAGUGUGUGUAUCACUCUCGUGGCUUGUGCUAUUUUGAAUCACACUCGAGGCUCCGCCUCUCGUGUGAUACGUCAUCACACAAGCCACUCGAGUGAUACAAACUCUUGGGACAAUUGACUAGCGUAAUAUUCCGUAUGUACACACCGUUACAAUCUAUUUAUAGUAUGAUCACAGAAUACAUUUUCGGAAAUAAUCCACAUUAAACUUGA